rnacentral:rRNA from 1 species
GACGAAGGAUGCAAGCGUUAUCCGGAUUCAUUGGGUUUAAAGGGAGCGUAGGCGGCUUUUUAAGUCAGAGGUGAAAUCCUGGAGCUCAACUCCAGAACUGCCUUUGAUACUGGAGAGCUUGAGUCCGGGAGAGGUGAGUGGAACUGCGAGUGUAGAGGUGAAAUUCGUAGAUAUUCGCAAGAACACCAGUGGCGAAGGCGGCUCACUGGCCCGAUACUGACGCUGAGGCACGAAAGCGUGGGGAGCAAACAGG